rnacentral:rRNA from 1 species
CCCUUAGAUGUUCUGGGCCGCACGAGUGCUACACUGAGUGGAUCAGCGGGUCAGGUUGCGCGAAAGUGUUUCCUAAUCUUGAAAUCCGCUCGUGAUGGGGAUUGACGGUUGCAAUUUUCCGUCAUGAACGAGGAAUACCUUGUAAGCGCGGGUCAUCAUCCCGCGCUGAAUACGUCCCUGCCCUUUGUACACACCGCCCGUCGCUCCUACCGAUUGAGUGGUCCGGUGAGGCUUUGGGAUCUGAGCGGAAAGAGCGUUUCGCUGUUUCUGCUCGGAAAACUCAGUCGAACCUUAUCAUUUAGAGGAAGGAGAAGUCGUAACA